GACGAACGCUGGCGGCGUGCUUAACACAUGCCAGUCGAACGGAAAGGCCCUGCUUUUGUGGGGUGCUCGAGUGGCGAACGGGUGAGUAACACGUGAGUAACCUGCCCUUGACUUUGGGAUAACUUCAGGAAACUGGGGCUAAUACCGGAUAGGAGCUCCUGCUGCAUGGUGGGGGUUGGAAAGUUUCGGCGGUUGGGGAUGGACUCGCGGCUUAUCAGCUUGUUGGUGGGGUAGUGGCUUACCAAGGCUUUGACGGGUAGCCGGCCUGAGAGGGUGACCGGCCACAUGGGGACUGAGAGACGGCGCAGACUCCUACGGGAGGCAGCAGGGGGGAAUAUUGCAGAAUGGGCGGAAGCCUGAUGCAGCAACGCCGCGUGCGGGAUGACGGCCUUCGGGUGGUAAACAGAUUUCGCCUGUGACGAAGAGUGAGUGACGGUAAUGGGUAAAGAAGCACCGGCUAACUACGUG
rnacentral:rRNA from 1 species